rnacentral:sRNA from 1 species
AUAUUAGCUGCUGCCCUGUCAAAAUGAACACAAUUGGAAACACCCAGACGCACACAUACAAAGAGUCAUACUGCCAUGCAAGUUAAACAGAUGAAAGCCCUAUAUACACAUACAUACAUUUGAACGGACUGAGUGCAGUUGACACAGAUAUUAGCUGCUGCCCCGUCAAAAUGAACACAAUUGGAAACUAAUGAUGAUCGUUCCGCAUACCCUAGGUUUAGUUGACCGCCGCCUGGCCUUCUUUUUGCUAUAAGGGAAUUCAAAGCGAUGGUACCGGUCCCGCUGGACGAGAGGAUUGCAUCGCUUGAAUUAGAACUGUAAAUGCUGAUGAACCACACAUCCCAUUGAAUAUUAACCUUUCGCUUGUCCUUGUCUUUAAUAAACGCAAUUCAUCGAAUACA